rnacentral:tRNA from 1 species
GGGCCCGUAGCUCAGUCGGUAGAGCAGGAGACUUUUAAUCUCACGGUCCAGGGUUCGAGUCCCUGCGGGCUCACCA